rnacentral:rRNA from 1 species
GGUUACUGCUAUCGGUGUUCGCCUAAGCCAUGCGAGUCAUAUGUAGCAAUACAUGGCGUACUGCUCAGUAACACGUGGAUAACCUGCCCUUGGGACCGGCAUAACCCCGGGAAACUGGGGAUAAUUCCGGAUAACGCAUAUUUGCUGGAAUGCUUUAUGCGUCAAAAGGAUUCGUCUGCCCAAGGAUGGGUCUGCGGCCUAUCAGGUAGUAGUGGGUGUAAUGUACCUACUAGCCAGCGACGGGUACGGGUUGUGAGAGCAAGAGCCCGGAGAUGGAUUCUGAGACAUGAAUCCAGGCCCUACGGGGCGCAGCAGGCGCGAAAACUUUACAAUGCGGGAAACCGUGAUAAGGGGACACCGAGUGCCAGCAUCAUAUGCUGGCUGUCCGGAUGUGUAAAAUACAUCCGUUAGCAAGGGCCGGGCAAGACCGGUGCCAGCCGCCGCGGUAACACCGGCGGCCCGAGUGGUGAUCGUGAUUAUUGGGUCUAAAGGGUCCGUAGCCGGUUUGGUCAGUCCUCCGGGAAAUCUGAUAGCUCAACUAUUAGGCUUUCGGGGGAUACUGCCAGACUUGGAACCGGGAGAGGUAAGAGGUACUACAGGGGUAGGAGUGAAAUCUUGUAAUCCCUGUGGGACCACCUGUGGCGAAGGCGUCUUACCAGAACGGGUUCGACGGUGAGGGACGAAAGCUGGGGGCACG